rnacentral:rRNA from 1 species
CGAACGCUGGCGGCGUGCUUAACACAUGCUAGUCGAACGGAGCACCCUUGAAAGAGUUUUCGGACAAUGGAGAGGAAUGCUUAGUGGCGGACUGGUGAGUAACGCGUGAGGAACCUGCCUUCCAGAGGGGGACAACAGUUGGAAACGACUGCUAAUACCGCAUAAUAUAUUCUAAUCGCAUGGUUGGGAUAUCAAAGAUUUAUCGCUGGAAGAUGGCCUCGCGUCUGAUUAGCUUGUUGGCGGGGUAAUGGCCCACCAAGGCGACGAUCAGUAGCCGGACUGAGAGGUUGACCGGCCACAUUGGGACUGAGAUACGGCCCAGACUCCUACGGGAGGCAGCAGUGGGGAAUAUUGGGCAAUGGGGGAAACCCUGACCCAGCAACGCCGCGUGAAGGAAGAAGGCUUUCGGGUUGUAAACUUCUUUUAAGAGGGAAGAGCAGAAGACGGUACCUCUUGAAUAAGCCACGGCUAACUACGUGCCAGCAGCCGCGGUAAUACGUAGGUGGCAAGCGUUGUCCGGAUUUACUGGGUGUAAAGGGCGUGCAGCCGGGCUGACAAGUCAGGUGUGAAAUCCCGCGGCUUAACCGCGGAACUGCAUUUGAAACUGUCAGUCUUGAGUACUGGAGAGGUCAUCGGAAUUCCUUGUGUAGCGGUGAAACGCGUAGAUAUAAGGAAGAACACCAGUGGCGAAGGCGGAUGACUGGACGGCAACUGACGGUGAGGCGCGAAAGCGUGGGGAGCAAACAGGAUUAGAUACCCUGGUAGUCCACGCUGUAAACGAUCGAUACUAGGUGUGCGGGGACUGACCCCCUGCGUGCCGCAGUUAACACAAUAAGUAUCGCACCUGGGGAGUACGAUCGCAAGGUUGCAACUCAAAGGAAUUGACGGA